UACGUAGGGUGCAAGCGUUGUCCGGAAUUAUUGGGCGUAAAGAGCUCGUAGGCGGCUUGUCGCGUCGUCCGUGAAAACCUGUGGCUCAACUGCAGGCUUGCGGUCGAUACGGGCAGGCUGGAGUUCGGUAGGGGAGACUGGAAUUCCUGGUGUAGCGGUGAAAUGCGCAGAUAUCAGGAGGAACACCGGUGGCGAAGGCGGGUCUCUGGGCCGAUACUGACGCUGAGGAGCGAAAGCGUGGGGAGCGAACAGG
rnacentral:rRNA from 1 species